rnacentral:rRNA from 1 species
UACGUAGGAGGCAAGCGUUGUCCGGAAUUACUGGGCCGUAAAGCGCGUGUAGGUGGUGGGAGCAAGUCUGCUGUGAAAGCGCCUGGCUUAACCGGGCGAGGCGGCGGAACUGUUUCACUGGAGGACGGUAGGAGGGGGGUGGAAUUCCCGGUGUAGUGGUGAAAUGCGUAGAGAUCGGGAGGAACACCUGUGGCGAAGGCGGG